rnacentral:rRNA from 1 species
GGGUUGCUGGAGGUAUAAGAAGUGCGAAUGCGAACAAAAGUAACGAUAGGGGGGGGGAAACCCCCGCACGCCGGAAGACCAAGGGUUCCUGUCCAACGUUAAUCGGGGCAGGGUGAGUCGACCCCUAAGGCGAGGCCGAAAGGCGUAGUCGAUGGGAAACAGGUUAAUAUUCCUGUACUUGGUGUUACUGCGAAGGGGGGACGGAGAAGGCUAGGUUAUCCGGGCGACGGUUGUCCCGGUUUAAGCGUGUAGGUGGAUGUUUUUGGUAAAUCCGGAACAUCAUUAACACUGAGGCGUGAUGACGAGUCACUACGGUGAUGAAGUGACCGAUGCCAAGCUUCCAGGAAAAGCCUCUAAGCUCCAGGUAACACGAAAUCGUACCCCAAACCGACACAGGUGGUCAGGUAGAGAAUACCAAGGCGCUUGAGAGAACUCGGGUGAAGGAACUAGGCAAAAUGGUGCCGUAACUUCGGGAGAAGGCACGCUGGCGUUGGUGAAGGGACUUGCUCCCGGAGCUGAUACCAGUCGCAGAUACCAGCUGGCUGCAACUGUUUAAUAAAAACACAGCACUGUGCAAACACGAAAGUGGACGUAUACGGUGUGACGCCUGCCCGGUGCCGGAAGGUUAAUUGAUGGGGUCAGCCGCAAGGCGAAGCUCUUGAUCGAAGCCCCGGUAAACGGCGGCCGUAACUAUAACGGUCCUAAGGUAGCGAAAUUCCUUGUCGGGUAAGUUCCGACCUGCACGAAUGGCGUAAUGAUGGCCAGGCUGUCUCCACCCGAGACUCAGUGAAAUUGAACUCGCUGUGAAGAUGCAGUGUACCCGCGGCAAGACGGAAAGACCCCGUGAACCUUUACUAUAGCUUGACACUGAACCUUGAGCCUUGAUGUGUAGGAUAGGUGGGAGGCUUUGAAGUGUGGACGCCAGUCUGCAUGGAGCCAACCUUGAAAUACCACCCUUUAAUGUUUGAUGUUCUAACGUGGGCCCCUAAUCGGGGUUGCGGACAGUGUCUGGUGGGUAGUUUGACUGGGGCGGUCUCCUCCCAAAGAGUAACGGAGGAGCACGAAGGUUAGCUAAUCCUGGUCGGACAUCAGGAGGUUAGUGCAAAGGCAUAAGCUAGCUUGACUGCGAGAGUGACGGCUCGAGCAGGUGCGAAAGCAGGUCUUAGUGAUCCGGUGGUUCUGAAUGGAAGGGCCAUCGCUCAACGGAUAAAAGGUACUCCGGGGAUAACAGGCUGAUACCGCCCAAGAGUUCAUAUCGACGGCGGUGUUUGGCACCUCGAUGUCGGCUCAUCACAUCCUGGGGCUGAAGUAGGUCCCAAGGGUACGGCUGUUCGCCGUUUAAAGUGGUACGCGAGCUGGGUUUAGAACGUCGUGAGACAGUUCGGUCCCUAUCUGCCGUGGGCGUUGGAAGAUUGAGGGGGGUUGCUCCUAGUACGAGAGGACCGGAGUGAACGCACCACUGGUGUUCGGGUUGUGAUGCCAAUCGCAUUGCCCGGUAGCUAAGUGCGGAAGAGAUAACCGCUGAAAGCAUCUAAGCGGGAAACUUGCCCCGAGAUGAGUCUUCCCUGGGACUUCGAGUCCCCUGAAGGGCCGUUGAAGACGACGACGUAGAUAGGCUGGGNGUGUAAGCGUAGCGAUACGUUGAGCUAACCAGUACUAAUGACCCGAGAGGCUUAACCUU